rnacentral:rRNA from 1 species
GAAACAGCCCAGACCACCAGCUAAGGUCCCAAAAUAUAUGUUAAGUGGAAAAGGAUGUGGCGUUGCCCAGACAACUAGGAUGUUGGCUUAGAAGCAGCCAUCAUUUAAAGAGUGCGUAAUAGCUCACUAGUCGAGUGACACUGCGCCGAAAAUGUACCGGGGCUAAACAUAUUACCGAAGCUGUGGAUUGUCCUUUGGACAAUGGUAGGAGAGCGUUCUAAGGGCGUUGAAGCAUGAUCGUAAGGACAUGUGGAGCGCUUAGAAGUGAGAAUGCCGGUGUGAGUAGCGAAAGACGGGUGAGAAUCCCGUCCACCGAUUGACUAAGGUUUCCAGAGGAAGGCUCGUCCGCUCUGGGUUAGUCGGGUCCUAAGCUGAGGCCGACAGGCGUAGGCGAUGGAUAACAGGUUGAUAUUCCUGUACCACCUAUAAUCGUUUUAAUCGAUGGGGGGACGCAGUAGGAUAGGCGAAGCGUGCGAUUGGAUUGCACGUCUAAGCAGUAAGGCUGAGUAUUAGGCAAAUCCGGUACUCGUUAAGGC